rnacentral:misc_RNA from 1 species
AGGAGCACCACGAAAACGCCCCAACUGGUGGGGCGUAGGCCGUGAGGGGUUCUUGUCUGUAGUGGGCGAGAGCCGGGUGCAUGACAACAAAGUUGGCCACCAACACACUGUUGGGUCCUGAGGCAACACUCGGACUUGUUCCAGGUGUUGUCCCACCGCCUUGGUGGUGGGGUGUGGUGUUUGAGAACUGGAUAGUGGUUGCGAGCAUCAAUGGAUACGCUGCCGGCUAGCGGUGGCGUGUUCUUUGUGCAAUAUUCUUUGGUUUUUG